GAAAAAUUAAAAAAAGAUGCAGAGAGGGGGGAAAACCAGGAGGCGAGAGGGAACAAGCUUUCGGAAGUUCUCCAGUUUGGAGAUCCGAUCAGGAUGAAAUGAAAAAUAGUGUUGGACGAAGAUGCACAGAGGUUUCUUCGAAGAGCUUGGAUUUAUCUCUCUCGAGAUUCUUCGAUCGGAAACUUCCGUAGUACAAAGGACGGUGGAGUUAGGUAAAAAUCGAAUGAGGAAGAAAUAUGCAAUAGUUCAAGGCUCGUCUCCAAGCAACUCAAGACGAUCACGGUUAGUAUUUGUCAAUAUCACUAAUAGUUUCUGAAGACAUAUUCAAA